GGCUCAGAUUGAACGCUGGCGGCAUGCCUUACACAUGCAAGUCGAACGGCAGCACGGGGCAACCUGGUGGCGAGUGGCGAACGGGUGAGUAAUGCAUCGGAACGUGCCAUUGAGUGGGGGAUAACGUAGCGAAAGUUGCGCUAAUACCGCAUAUUCUGUGAGCAGGAAAGCAGGGGACCGCAAGGCCUUGCGCUCUUUGAGCGGCCGAUGUCAGAUUAGCUAGUUGGUGAGGUAACGGCUUACCAAGGCGACGAUCUGUAGCGGGUCUGAGAGAAUGAUCCGCCACACUGGAACUGAGACACGGUCCAGACUCCUACGGGAGGCAGCAGUGGGGAAUUUUGGACAAUGGGCGCAAGCCUGAUCCAGCCAUGCCGCGUGAGUGAAGAAGGCCUUCGGGUUGUAAAGCUCUUUCGGCCGGGAAGAAAUCGCAUGGGUUAAUACCCUGUGUGGAUGACGGUACCGGAAUAAGAAGCACCGGCUAACUACGUG
rnacentral:rRNA from 1 species